rnacentral:rRNA from 2 species
UGGGGAAUAUUGCACAAUGGGCGCAAGCCUGAUGCAGCCAUGCCGCGUGUGUGAAGAAGGCCUUCGGGUUGUAAAGCACUUUCAGCGAGGAGGAAGGCAGUCGUGUUAAUAGCACGAUUGAUUGACGUUACUCGCAGAAGAAGCACCGGCUAACUCCGUGCCAGCAGCCGCGGUAAUACGGAGGGUGCAAGCGUUAAUCGGAAUUACUGGGCGUAAAGCGCACGCAGGCGGGUUGUUAGGUCCGGUGGG